rnacentral:rRNA from 1 species
UACGGAGGGUGCAAGCGUUGUCCGGAAUCACUGGGCGUAAAGGGCGCGUAGGCGGCUCAUGAAGGCUGUGGUGAAAGUCCGGGGCUCAACCUCGGAUCGGCCGUGGCGACUCGUGGGCUGGAGCACUGUAGAGGCAGAUGGAAUUCCGGGUGUAGCGGUGGAAUGCGUAGAGAUCCGGAAGAACACCGGUGGCGAAGGCGGUCUGCUGGGCAGUUGCUGACACUGAGGCGCGACAGCGUGGGGAGCAAACAGG